GAAGCAGAAGGGCGAGACGGUGGACUUCUCUACCUGCGGGUCUCCCAACUAUUGUAUCUACUUGAUUGUCUUCUGUUAUCCAGAUCGAAAUUGUCCUAAGAAUGAGGCAACACUCGGAGGUGGCACCUACACAUGAUCCCUGUCUCUCUUAGAUGUCAAGGUCGUUUCUCUCCAUAUUGUAUACCUCUCAUAGGUUUUUUCCUGGCUUUUACUUUAUGAUGUGUAGAGAUUAAACGGUAUCUGCUUGGAAUAUUAUUGUAUUUGGCACUAAUAAAUCAUAAAUAAUGGUAUGAGACUAUGAGUAUACUCUUACGGUUUUACUUAAUUUCUACCUCCGUUGAUAUAGCAUAUCUUCUUUGUAUUAUUUCACAGGAUUCUUUGCUAGAAGUUAAAAUAUCCUAUAUAAUAUGGAAAAGAGAUAGCUUAAAUCGGUGCAUGUGUAAUUAACUCCAUAUAUUAUUUCGAGGAAGAGUUCAAUACAUGCAUGUUCUCUCAAAUUAGGUUUCCCUUGGCGUGUAUAUAAAUGUGAUGCUUCCUUCCAUGACUAAACAUGUUGAUGUUAGGUAUGAAUGUACAGUCGAGUCAUGUUUAACAGAAUUGCUUUCUGCAUUAUCAGAUCACCUACAAUUAUUAUUCUUUAUUACAGUCUCAUACUAAAGUAGUCUGAUUAGUCAUAGUAAUUCAUAAAUAUUUCCAGUAUAUAUAGUUCUUAUUCGGUUAGUAGGACUUUUUUCCAAUUGUGAUGUUUGAAACAUUUUCUUAUACUGAUAAUGAUCUAGAAUAAAACAGACCAAUGAUAACUGGUAUGUAGCUUUUGAAGCCACUGAUAUAUACAAAAUAUUAUUUGAGUACAACAGGAGAGAUGCAAUCUUAUGGAUAUUUCCGCAUUUGUAAGAAACAUUCAGCUUGGCAAGCGGACUUGACUAGCCAUGUGUAGGACUCAGCCCUGCUGACUUCAAAAUGAUUAGUCAUUGGUGUUUUCUUAAGUACCUGUUAGCCCAAGUGCAUCAGUUAAGUAGAGUGUUAUGUUGAAAAAAGGAAAGAGACUACUCUUUUGUUACUUGCAGUACAGGUACAUGCUAUAACAUAUUACCUUUAUGCUCUCUUUGGAUUUCAGUAUAUGCAUGUGAACAAAUAAGUCACUAAUAUCAAUGCCCAAGAAUUAUUUGUUUGCUAUUCUAAUCGUUCCAGCAGAGAGCAAUGGAUAUAGAAGAAAUAUGUGAACGGUUGUUACAGAGAUUGAACUCUAUAGAUAGCAGCUCUCAUUGGGUGACUGAAUUAGACUCUGACAUGAAUUAUCAUAUUUUCUGGUUCUCUGCUCUAAUCUAAGCUCUAAGACUACAUGAACUACCAUAUAUUCUAAUUUGUUUGGCUACACUACACCGUUCUACCUUGUUGGCUAUGAGCAUCAGAUGUGUUAGACAAAAAAUCAUUGUUAAAUGAAUAAUAGUGCCAAAUGAGAUUCACUAAUCAAACACCAUCGAUGAAGUCACAUUUAUGCGUAGCGAGCCAUGCUUCCUAUCUGUUCUAUGUUAUGUUUCUGAAUAUGUAUCCACGUCAACUGGUCUAAAGUUGCGUAUCUAGAUGAGUUGCAUUUUGUUUAUUUACUAAAAUAUAGCUAUUAUGGGAUUAUUUGGUUACCAGCUUUAUGGACAAGCAUCCAGUAUAUGCUGCGAGGAGUGACAAUGCAAGACCAGCGCUGUUUUCAUGCACAUUUGCAUAUAGUUUCAGUCAAUAUGAUAGUAAACUUGCUCUCAACGACUCUGACCUUACAAAAUAUUAGGUAUCCUUAGUUCCAAAUAUGGUUUUAAAGGUUCUAAAAUUAUUUCUUUGAUGCCAGGUGCCAUGCUGUGGAGAACAUCUAGCCGCCAUUUACACUUAAUUUCCUCCAUGUUUCGAUCAAGUGCCUCCACUCCUCACCACCUCUUUAUCUAUCAUGGUAGCAGCAAUGGAGGUCUCCAAGGCCACUUCCUCUUCUGGUUUGGCAACCCGCCAGCCCUCCAAAGGUUAGUACUCCUAAUCACCAAGAAUUCCUUUAUUGGUUAACCGUGCACAUCUCCAAGAAGCAUAGAUGUUAGGUUAUGCAAUGGUUUCCCUACUUAUGCCCAGAGAUUCUUGAGACAUGGCGGUGCCAAUGAGGUGUGCUUCGAUGUGGAUAGCACUGUGUGCUUGGAUGAGAGUAUUGAUGAGCUUGCUGAUUUCUGUGGGGCUGGGCAGGCGGUUGCCGAGUGGACGACAAAGCAAUCGUCAUAGUUUCUGGAAUGUGUUAGUUGUUUAGCAUAUAAUAUCUUUCGAAAAACUACUUGGCCUUAUUAUUCUCAGGGCGAUGACAGGGACCGUUCCAUUUGAUGAGGCUCUUGCUGCCUGGAUCUCUUUAAGUAAGCCAUCUUUGUCCCAAGUUGAGGACCGUUUGGAGAAGAGACCACCCAGGAUUUCUCAAUGCUGAUUUUAUUAAGACAUUAAAAGCCAAUAAUACUGAAGUAUUCCUUGUGUCCGGAGGUUUCCGGUAAAUGAUCAAGGUGUAUCUUCACUAAACGGCUGCACGAACGAUCAGCAUCUGUGUGCGCCGCUGCUUGAGAGGGACAAAAAAGAGGUUGAUUUGAUAUGGAAGAGCAAGGGAGGCCGGAAGAAUUGUGCACUUCUAUCCUUUCUACUAGCGCAUCAUAGCAUUUGAUUUUUACCCACGUCGUUGGGACCGGCACCCUCGCGCCAAGGCAUGAUCACGAUGUAGUGGGAGAAGAUCUGUGGGCUUUUUGUAAUUUACCCAUAGGUUUAACAUUUGCCUUUAUUAUAUCAACACCAUCAUAUGCUUCUUAGUUAAAUUUUCGAAAUGUUUAAAUUCAAAUUUAUUGAAAUUUGUUAGGUGUAACAACAUUUUGCAUGCAUAAAAGUAGCCCUAACAAACUAUGUUAUGCCUAA